rnacentral:tRNA from 1 species
UCCUGGGUGGUAGAAAUGGUUAAUGUGUUUGGCUGCUAACUGAAAGGUUGGUGGUUCAAGUCUACCCAGAGGGA